rnacentral:rRNA from 1 species
CAGUAGCCGCGGUAAUACGUAGGGUCCGAGCGUUGUCCGGAAUUAUUAGGCGUAAAGGGCUCGUAGGCGGUUUGUUGCGUCGGGAGUGAAAACCAGAGGCUUAACUUCUGGCUUGCUUUCGAUACGGGCAGACUUGAGGCAUUCAGGGGAGAACGGAAUUCCUGGAGUAGCGGUGAAAUGCGCAGAUAUCAGGAGGAACACCGGUGGCGAAGGCGGUUCUCUGGGAAUGUUCUGACGCUGAGGAGCGAAAGUGUGGGGAGCGAACAGGAUUAGAUACCCCUGUAGUCCCUGUCUCUUAUAA